ACCAAUUUAUUUCUUUUGUGGGCUCCUGGCUCCAGGCCGACAAGGAGGCAAGCCGUGUGGCGUCCCUCUCCAUCUUCAGUGGCAUCCUUGCUGCUGACCUGCCGGAGAUGCGGGAGAAAAAAUGUGACAUGGUGCAGGCCAUGAGGGGCACACUCAGCGAUGAGAGCAUUGAGGUGAAGAAGGCUGUGCUCCAUUUCAGCAGGACGGUGCUCACUGUGCACGGCCUGGAGGAGUGGGCCUGGGAGCUGGUGGCCUAUGUUUUCAAGCAGGCCAGCUCAUCUAGCAGC